rnacentral:rRNA from 1 species
GAAUUGUUCGCAAUGGGCGCAAGCCUGACGACGCAACGCCGCGUGGAGGAUGAAGGUCUUCGGAUUGUAAACUCCUGUUGCCCGGGACGAAUGGCUUCAACCUAAUACGUUGACGUGUGACGGUACCGGGUGAGGAAGCCCCGGCUAACUCUGUGCCAGCCGCCGCGGUAAGACAGAGGGGGCAAGCGUUGUUCGGAAUUACUGGGCGUAAAGGGCGCGUAGGCGGCCUGCUAAGUCGAACGUGAAAUCCCUGGGCUCAACCCAGGAACUGCGUCCGAUACUGGUUGGCUUGAAUCCGGGAGAGGGAUGUGGAAUUCCAGGUGUAGCGGUGAAAUGCGUAGAUAUCUGGAGGAACACCGGUGGCGAAGGCGACAUCCUGGACCGGUAUUGACGCUGAGGCGCGAAAGCCAGGGGAGCAAACGGG